UGGGGAAUUUUGGACAAUGGGCGAAAGCCUGAUCCAGCAAUGCCGCGUGUGUGAAGAAGGCCUUCGGGUUGUAAAGCACUUUUGUCCGGAAAGAAAUCCUUGGCUCUAAUACAGUCGGGGGAUGACGGUACCGGAAGAAUAAGCACCGGCUAACUACGUGCCAGCAGCCGCGGUAAUACGUAGGGUGCAAGCGUUAAUCGGAAUUACUGGGCGUAAAGCGUGCGCAGGCGGUUUGCUAAGACCGAUGUGAAAUCCCCGGGCUCAACCUGGGAACUGCAUUGGUGACUGGCAGGCUAGAGUAUGGCAGAGGGGGGUAGAAUUCCACGUGUAGCAGUGAAAUGCGUAGAGAUGUGGAGGAAUACCGAUGGCGAAGGCAGCCCCCUGGGCCAAUACUGACGCUCAUGCACGAAAGCGUGGGGAGCAAAACAGGAUUAGAUACCCUGGUAGUCCACGCCCUAAACGAUGUCAACUAGUUGUCGGGGAUUCAUUUCCUUAGUAACGUAGCUAACGCGUGAAGUUGACCGCCUGGGGAGUACGGUCGCAAGAUUAAAACUCAAAUGAAUUGACGGGGUCAUAGCUGUUUCCU
rnacentral:rRNA from 1 species